UACGUAGGGGCCUAGCGUUGUCCGGAAUUAUUGGGCGUAAAGAGCUCGUAGGCGGUUCGGCAAGUCGGAUGUGAAAUCUCCACGCUCAACGUGGAGGGGCCAUUCGAAACUGCCGUGACUCGAGUCCGGUAGGGGAGUGUGGAAUUCCCGGUGUAGCGGUGAAAUGCGUAGAGAUCGGGAGGAACACCAGAGGCGAAGGCGGCUCGCUGGACAGUUACUGACACUCAACUACGAAAGCGUGGGGAGCAAACAGG
rnacentral:rRNA from 1 species